UGAGGGCCGUCCACAGAGGUCUUGAAUGCCAUGCUAAGCAUUUGGGACUUUAACCAUUGGCAGUGAAGGCCCCAGUGUCCCAGGUGACCACUUCCUGACAGUUGUUUCCAGGCUGUUCCAAGCUCCUUACUUGGUCACCACCCACCUGACCUGGCCAGGACUGACUGUCCCACAAGGGCUCCCAGCUCCCACAGAAAGAACCCUGCCCCAACUUCUUCCAGUACACACCCAGAACAACCAGACUCUCAACUGCAGGCCAGGACGACUCUAGACUGAGCACAGUCACGCUCACCUGAUGGCUCAGUUCCCAAAGCGGGCCAGGCCCCUCCGAAGGCACAAAGCAGAGGUUGGACUCCCCAGAGACGUUCUCCCCAUCAGCCACUGUGCACCUAGCUCUGUGAAAAAUGAAAGGAGGUAUAGCCCUGGCCAGUGUGACUCAAUUGGUUGGGCGUCGUCUUGUGCACUGACUGACAGGUCGCCAAUUCGAUUCCCGGUCUUGGCAGGAAGUGGCCCAUUGAUGUUUCUCUCUUGCAUUGAUCUUUCUCUCUUUCUCUCCACCUCCAUUCCCCUUUUCUAAAGAUCAAUAAAAAGAAUAUAUUUAGAAAAAAAAUAAAGGAAGUAAUGUACAUCGAGGGGAAAUUAGAGCAUUUACAUAAGCAACAAGAGAAAAUUUCAGUGACCCACCAUCCCACCAUCUAGAGCUAGCAUUAAGUGUUAACAAUUUGUAUAUCUUUUGCAAACGCUUCUAUGUGUUCCAUGUUUUCCUUACAAAGUAGAAUCAUAUUGUACAUAUUGUUUGCACUUACUUAUUUCACUUAUCAGAUUAUGGACAUGUUUAAAUGUCAUUACAUACUCUGACAGCAUCAUUUAAAAUGAAUAAAUAAUGUUCUAUCUUAUAGUCAAUUCCCUAAUAAUGGACAUUUAGGUUGUUUCCCAUUUUUUUGAUUCUAUAAACAGCUCUGUGGUGAAUCACCCUGUAAUAUAACUUUUCACAUGCGAGUGAAUAUAUCCUAAGGGUAAAUUCCUAACCUUGGGAUUGUUGGGUUCGACCACCCAGCUCAUAAAAGGCCUUGAGUACCUGCCAAGAGAUUGCAGUGGCAAUCAUUGAGGCUGGAGGCAAUCCGGUAAAUAGCACCUCUUUUCUCUCCACUGGUUCUAAUGCAGCUGAGCCAGACACAGGAUAUGUCAGGCAGAUAGAGAUUAAAACAUCCCUCUCAUUACUAAUGAAGACUAGUUUGGAGGACAUGGCUUAGAAGUACAGUGACCAUUGGCUUCCUAAUACUGGACCCUACAAGUGAUCAGGUCGUGCUGUUCUCAUGGGGAGUUGGAGUUUCAGAUACUAGGGAGCGACAUGUUUCACGAUCGUGGGUGAGUCCAGUUUGGCACUGCACAAACCUCAGCAGACAGCUGCCCAUUCCACCUGCUGCAGUGACCUGCCCCACCACAAGGUGAAAAGUCAGACUUGACUCACGAACAGGACACAUUCACGGAAUUUCACCACCAACAACACAAGGUUGGCAGCCAACACUGCCUCAUACUGGGAUGGACCAACAGUCGGCUCAGGUGCCUGGGGGUUUCCAUGGGACUUGGUGAAGUCAGAGUGGGGAUAAGGCAUCAUGACAGCACACCGCACGUCCCUGAUGGCAUUGCUGCCACCAGCACCUCUCGGGCUCCACGAACUCACCCAGAAGGCUUCUGAGCAUGAGCCACCUCUUCUGGGAAGCCCGUUCCUCCCCUUCCCAGCCAGCCGGCCACUCCUUGCUUUGUGCCCCGCCUUGAACACCUUGUCAGUUUCUAUUGGUAAGCCUUGGGGGUUGGGGGAAUUCUGGCUCCCAUUCAUCUGUGCAACCCAGAAAUAAUUGUUGAAUGAAUAAUUAAGAAGAAAUCAGGGGAUUUUGAAAACAACAAUUUUUCAGAGAAAAUAUCUUACAUAAGCUCUUUGGAUAUAAUGAGUCUCCUAGAAAGAGAAGGGUGAACAUUUUCCUCGUCUCCUAAUGUCUUUAAAAAAACAAAAAGGAAAACCAUAAUACCAGGAGGCCUCAGAAAAGGUUCAGGCUUGGGGGGAAAGUACACGGUGAUUGAUUAGUCAUGCCUGCUGGGGACAGGGCUGGGAGGAGGGCAGCACUUUUGCCUGACAGCUGGCAUCUCUCUUAAACCCUUAACCAGAGACCAAAUUAGUGAAAAUGCAGCUUGCACGGUGAAGUAUGGCCUUUUCUCCAACCUUUAAUUGGGAUGUUUAGCAAAUAUGUUUUACUAUUAAAAUGGAAAUGGGGUGGAAAAUAGACUUCAUUCUAUAAUCCAUAUUGAGUAUAUAUUGGUAUCCUUAUCAACAGAAAAGAUGUUUUUAAUGAACAAGAAGGAAAGCAACCCUCUCUCUCUGAACGACUGAUAAUUCUUCCCAGUUAGAGAAGGCUAGCUGAUGGCAGUCCAGGGGACACCAGAGACCUCCUGUACGGGUGGGUCAGUGUCCUGGUUAGUUCGUGGCCUUAAAAUCAGAACACCUAUGUUUUUCUCCCAACGCUUGUUUUUUAAUGUUUAAAAAAUCCUUGUGAGAGAGAGACAUCAAGUAGCCGGUGCCCUGACCGGGAAUCAAACCAGAGACUUUUCAGUUCAUGGCACGAUGCUCCAACCAACCAAGCCACACCAGCCAGGACUUUUUUUUUUAAUUUGAAGGAAUAGUAUGAUAAACAGUAUAUACUCUUUUUCUUCACUGUGAUUCACCAACUGUUAGCAUUGUUGUCACAUGCCCUCUUCUCUCUCUCUCUCUCUCUCUCUCUCUCUCUCUCACACACACACACACACACACACACACACACACAUUUUCAUUUUGCUGAACCAUGUAAAAGUAACUUUCAGACAUCACGACACUUCACCCCGGUCUUCACCCCAAAUGCUUCCGCUGCCUUUCCUGAGAACAAGGGCAUUCUCCUACUUAAUUACCAGGCCAUUAUAUCACAAUCAAGAGAUUUAACAUUAAUACAAUAAUAUCCUGCCUCAGAAAACGGAUAUUAAUUCAAUAAUGCCAUCUACUAUUCAGCACUUAUUUAAUUUUCCUCAAAUGCCCCAAGAAUGACUUUUAUAACUUGAAAAAAAAAAUCUAGGCGCCGAUGUGUUACAGUUGAUUGCUAUAUCCCUUUUAAUUUAGAGCAGCUCCCUGCCUUUUUAUGUCUUCACGACUGACUGUUUUUGAAAGAAAACAGACCGCGUGCUUUGUGGAACGGCCCACGUUCUGGAUUUGUUUGUGCGUUUCCUCGGGGUUGUAGUAAAAUGAAACACGUGCGGCAGGAAUACCACAGGUGUUGCUGUGUGCUUGUGACCGCACCCCACUGGGGACACAUCAAGUCUGGCCGUCCCACGGUCGGAUGCUAAGUUUAAUCCCUUGGCUAAAAAGGUAGUGACCACAAGAUCUCACUGUUCCAGACACAUUUUCCCUUUGUGGCUGGUAAGUAAUCUGUGAUCCUGCGAGAGCAUGUGAAUAUCCUGUUCCCUGCACAAUCUCUCCCCCAGAAAUCUUAGCAUCUGUUGAUGAUCCUUACCCGAGUCAUUGUAAUAGUGAGGAUGGCAAAAUGCUGAUUUUCUAAUUCUAUUGUUCUUCCACAUUGCAGUCCAGAAAACUGUGGGUUGAUUACUUACUCUCUUGUAGUUUUGUCCUACUUAUCUAUAUAAAGGACAUAAUAAGAGAGGGCUGAUGAUAUAAGGAUUCAUCUCGAUAAUGAAUAUGAAAGAACCUUGUAUCACAUGUUUGGUAAUUGAAAGGAAUUACUAUUAUUUACAUUCUGGAGGGGGUGCCGCAAAUAAAACAAACGUAUUCAUCUAAGUUAGUGGUUUCUAAAAGACAAUGAAUAAGUAAGAAGCACAUAAACAAUCCAGUUCAGCAAAUAUUCAUAAGCUUCUGCUGUGUGCCUGACACCGUGCUAGGCUUGGAGACAAAUAGCUCAAAUCGCCGAAUUAAUUCAAUGCCAAAGGGGAGAGAAGAGGUAUAAAAUAGAGAUCAUUGGAAGAAAAAUUAAUUUGUUAAUCAGUUAACUGAUUCGUUCAUUACUUUAUUCACUCCAUAAACAUUUGAUGAGGAGCUAGAGCUACUAAAUCAAGUAAUCUGAGGUCCCUGCCCCAAAAGAGCUUUACAGUUUCUCUCCCUGGGGCACCCCCUGAACUCAGCUCCGGUCUGCCUGAGUCUCAGCCCCGCCCCUUUGCACUACACCAGGGAGAAAAAGUGAUGGCAAGGAGCUGUUGGGGCCGAGCCGUGUUUGCCUCUCAAGAGCGUUUCUGCAUAGUCAUUGCUGGAACGUGGCUAGGGAGUGAGUUCCAAGCCAGCCCACUCCUGAACCCCGUGUCCUCCGGGAACCCAGUAAACUCGGCUGCCAGGAGCGGUCCCCUGAGAGCCUUGCAUCACCUCCUGCAGGUGCAGGCCUGAGCAGGACCGGCAGGCGCGCCCACUGGGCCGUUGCAUUUGUUCUCAGCUGACAUCCUAUCGGGAGCUGGGACUACUCCCCACACUGCCCAUCACCCAUCGGCUUGGUGUUUGCCCCAGUUGGUGCAGUUCCGUUCUUGUCUGACCAGACAGGCUGCUUGCUGCUCUCUUCCCUCAGAUCACAGAGGAAUGGAUAUUGGCAGUAGCGGCCGCGGCUAUCAUCUUUGUACCAAGAGUGUGGUAACCAUGGAGGUUGUGAGGCGGAAGCCUGUCUGGGUGGAUGAAAACUUUGUGGAGAAAGGAAGGAUUUAAAAUGCAUCUGAAGUAAACUAAGACAAGUUGUUUACACAC